UCUUGGCGAGUUUGAUCCUGGCUCAGAGCGAACGCUGGCGGCGUACCUAACACAUGCAAGUCGAGCGAGGGUCGCGGCGUGAGCAAUCAUGUCGCGAUCCGAGCGGCGAACGGGUGAGUAACACGUGGGUAACCUGCCCUCGAGUCCGGGAUACCCCCUCGAAAGGGGGGCUAAUACUGGAUACGUUC
rnacentral:rRNA from 1 species